rnacentral:rRNA from 1 species
GACGAACGCUGGCGGCGUGCUUAACACAUGCAAGUCGAACGGUGAAGCGCCUUCCUUUUUGGUGGGUGUGGAUGAGUGGCGAACGGGUGAGUAACACGUGAGUAACCUGCCCCCUUCUUCUGGAUAACCGCAUGAAAGUGUGGCUAAUACGGGAUAUUCUGGGUCUGUCGCAUGAUGGGUCUGGGAAAGAUAUUGUUUCGGUGGGGGAUGGGCUCGCGGCGUAUCAGCUUGUUGGUGGGGUGAUGGCCUACCAAGGCGGUGACGGGUAGCCGGCCUGAGAGGGUGGACGGGCACACUGGGACGGAGACGCGGCCCAGACUCCGACGGGAGGCAGCAGGGAGGAAUAGUGCACAAUGGGCGCAAGGCUGAUGCAGCGACGCCGCGUGAGGGAUGGAGGCCUGCGGGUUGUGAACCUCUUUCGCCAGUGAAGCAGGCCUGCCUCGUUUGUGGGUGGGUUGACGGUAGCUGGAGAAGAAGCGCCGGCUAACUACGUG